GAUGAACGCUGGCGGCGUGCUUAACACAUGCAAGUCGAGCGAGAAGUUUUGAAAAGAUUCUUCGGAUGAAAUUUAAAAUGGAAAGCGGCGGACGGGUGAGUAACGCGUAGGCAACCUGCCCCAUACAAAGGGAUAGCAUUUGGAAACGAAUAUUAAUACCUUAUGAAACUUAACUAGUGCAUGCUAGGUAGGUCAAAGAUUUAUCGGUAUGGGGUGGGCCUGCGUCUGAUUAGCUAGUUGGUGAGGUAACGGCUCACCAAGGCGACGAUCAGUAGCCGACCUGAGAGGGUGAACGGCCACAUUGGAACUGAGGCACGGUCCAAACUCCUACGGGAGGCAGCAGUGGGGAAUAUUGGACAAUGGGGGAAACCCUGAUGCAGCAACGCAGCGUGAAAGAUGAAGGCCUUUGGGUCGUAAAGUUCUGUUCUAGGUGAUGAAAACUGACAGUAACCUAGGAGAAAGCCCCGGCUAACUCCGUG
rnacentral:rRNA from 1 species